GAUGAACGCUAGCUACAGGCUUAACACAUGCAAGUCGAGGGGUAGCAGGGUAGCAAUACCGCUGACGACCGGCGCACGGGUGAGUAACACGUAUCCAACCUUCCCAUCACUCGGGGAUAGCCUUUCGAAAGAAAGAUUAAUACCCGAUAGUACUUUUUUGAGGCAUCUUAAGAAAGUUAAAGAUUUAUUGGUGAUGGAUGGGGAUGCGUUCCAUUAGAUUGUUGGUGAGGUAACGGCUCACCAAGUCUUCGAUGGAUAGGGGUUCUGAGAGGAAGGUCCCCCACAUUGGUACUGAGACACGGACCAAACUCCUACGGGAGGCAGCAGUGAGGAAUAUUGGUCAAUGGGCGAGAGCCUGAACCAGCCAAGUAGCGUGAAGGAUGAAGGUCCUAUGGAUUGUAAACUUCUUUUAUAGUAGAAUAAAGUGGUCCACGUGUGGAUUUUGAUGUAUACUAUGAAUAAGGAUCGGCUAACUCCGUG
rnacentral:rRNA from 1 species